GCAAUUAGUUGGUUUCUCCUGGUCAUUGAUCAUGACCUCAACCAUAGUUAACUGGCUGUCAAUGUAUUUAAUUGAUUCAUGUGCCUUUGCAAUGAAGCACCCUCUUGCAUUCUCAAGAUGUACUACUACCAUCGGGGCACGCGCAAAACAAAAAAAAACUUAUUUGUCAUAGAUUAAAUGUCCAUUGGAAGAGCAAGCGAUCUACUAUACUAAACAGUUUACAGUGCUUUUGCAAGUGUUUACUGAGAGAAAGUAACCCAGGAAAAACUCUCAAUCGAGCUUAAUGAAACAGGAAAAAAUAGCAAAGAUGUUUAUCAAAAACAACUACAUGAAGA
rnacentral:lncRNA from 1 species